UACAGAGGGGCAAGCGUUGUUCGGAAUUACUGGGCGUAAAGGCGCGUAGGCGGCCUCUUAAGUCGAACGUGAAAUCCCCGGGUUCAACCCGGGAACUGCGUCCGAUACUGGGAGGCUUGAGUCCGGGAGAGGUGAGUGGAACUGCGAGUGUAGAGGUGAAUUCGUAGAUAUUCGCAAGAACACCAGUGGCGAAGGCGGCUCACUGGCCCGGUACUGACGCUGAGGUGCGAAAGCGUGGGAGCAACA
rnacentral:rRNA from 1 species